AGUGAACGCUGGCGGUAGGCCUAACACAUGCAAGUCGAACGGCGGCACAGAGGAGCUUGCUCCUUGGGUGGCGAGUGGCGGACGGGUGAGGAAUACAUCGGAAUCUACUCUGUCGUGGGGGAUAACGUAGGGAAACUUACGCUAAUACCGCAUACGACCUACGGGUGAAAGCAGGGGAUCUUCGGACCUUGCGCGAUUGAAUGAGCCGAUGUCGGAUUAGCUAGUUGGCGGGGUAAAGGCCCACCAAGGCGACGAUCCGUAGCAGGUCUGAGAGGAUGAUCAGCCACACUGGAACUGAGACACGGUCCAGACUCCUACGGGAGGCAGCAGUGGGGAAUAUUGGACAAUGGGCGCAAGCCUGAUCCAGCCAUACCGCGUGGGUGAAGAAGGCCUUCGGGUUGUAAAGCCCUUUUGUUGGGAAAGAAAUCCAUCUGGUUAAUACCCGGAUGGGAUGACGGUACCCAAAGAAUAAGCACCGGCUAACUUCGUGCCAGCAGCCGCCGUAA
rnacentral:rRNA from 1 species